GUGCUUGCUUUUGGCAGUACAUAUAUUAAAACUGGAACGAUAUAGAGAAGAUUAGCAUGGCUCUUGUGCAAGGAUGAUAAUUCAAGUAUAGUUGAACACCCAUCAUCA